CCCCCAAGAAGGAGGUACGUGAUAACUUUGCGCUAUUUGGUUUUGAUCUUGCCUUUGAGAAAAUACCAACUUGAUCUUUGGAGGAAUCUCACCGGGUUCCUCCCUGGAGAUUCCUUGCCUUUUUUUCCGUUUCAGGCACCUGUUGCUCCAGUCAGAGGCAAGGUCGUUGACAGAUAGGACCGACCGGAUUGUGCUACAUCAAUAUACUUUGUGACUCUUGAGUUGAUAACAUGGGCUCCCAAGAUUGGGAUUUUGGAGCAUUCCUUGGUAGGUCUACACUCAUUCGGGUUUCGGGGCUCAUUAGCCUCUUUCUUAAGCUUUGGCUAAAGCUUCCACACAGAGGACAAAAAGGUACGGAGAGAAUGUCACCCUGUCUAAUACCUCUGGUAGGUUUAAAUUCUCUAAAAGGUGUGCCAUUAAUAAGAAUAUGAAUGUCUUGAUACACUCCAUCACCCAACCAAUCCAUUUAUGAUGGAAUCCGAAUUUCUUUAGGAUUUUCUCAAUAAAAUCCCAUUCCAACCUAUCAUAGGCUUUCUUCAUGUCAACCUUACAAGCCAUAAUUCACUUCUUGGCUUUUUUCUUUUUCAUGGAGUGGAACAUUUCAUGAGCAAUUAAGAUGUUAUCAUUGAUUUGUCUAUUAGGCAUAAAAGCACUUUGUUAAGGGAAAAUUAAAUUAUCAAGGAAGGGCUUUAUCCUAUUCACCAAAAUUUUUUAGAUGACCUUGUAAAUCACAUUACAUAAACUAAUAGGUUUGUAAUUA